rnacentral:lncRNA from 1 species
GCUUGCUAAUAGGCCGAUAUAUAGGAAAACAUAUCCAAUUGGUAUGACCAAGCAUAUGAACUACCAAGAGGAUAUAAGAUACCUGAGUUUUUUCAUUUUUUAAGAGAUGAUGGUAUAUCAACUGUUGAACAUAUGGGGAGAUUUUUUAUCUAGUGCAGUGAAGCAAAGGAAACGACUUUUUCAAGCUACAGUUAUUUGCAAAUUCUUUCACUAGAUCUACUUUUUUUCUGGUAUGUAAAUCUGAUCCCUAACUCAAUUUGUUCUUGAUAAAAAAUAAAAAGUUAGUUUCAUACACAAUUCUAUAGAACUGAACCUGAGGUGUUAAUGGUAGAUUUGGCUAGGUUGACAC